GGUUGUGAUCAUACCAGUACUAAUGUAUCGGAUCCCAUCAGAACUCCGCAGUUAAGCAUGCUUGGGCGAGAGUAGUUCUAAAAUGGGUGACCCCCUGGGAAGUCCUCGUGUAGCAUCCU